AUUGAACGCUGGCGGCAGGCCUAACACAUGCAAGUCGAGCGGAUGAAGGGAGCUUGCUCCUGGAUUCAGCGGCGGACGGGUGAGUAAUGCCUAGGAAUCUGCCUGGUAGUGGGGGAUAACGUCCGGAAACGGGCGCUAAUACCGCAUACGUCCUGUGGGAGAAAGUGGGGGAUCUUCGGACCUCACGCUAUCAGAUGAGCCUAGGUCGGAUUAGCUAGUUGGUGGGGUAAAGGCCUACCAAGGCGACGAUCCGUAACUGGUCUGAGAGGAUGAUCAGUCACACUGGAACUGAGACACGGUCCAGACUCCUACGGGAGGCAGCAGUGGGGAAUAUUGGACGAUGGGCGAAAGCCUGAUCCAGCCAUGCCGCGUGUGUGAAGAAGGUCUUCGGAUUGUAAAGCACUUUAAGUUGGGAGGAAGGGCAGUAAGUUAAUACCUUGCUGUUUUGACGUUACCAACAGAAUAAGCACCGGCUAACUUCGUG
rnacentral:rRNA from 1 species